GAAUAUUGGACAAUGGGCGAAAGCCUGAUCCAGCAAUGCCGCGUGAGUGAUGAAGGCCCUAGGGUUGUAAAGCUCUUUUACCCGGGAUGAUAAUGACAGUACCGGGAGAAUAAGCUCCGGCUAACUCCGUGCCAGCAGCCGCGGUAAUACGGAGGGAGCUAGCGUUGUUCGGAAUUACUGGGCGUAAAGCGCGCGUAGGCGGUCCAUCAAGUCAGAGGUGAAAGCCCGGGGCUCAACCCCGGAACUGCCUUUGAAACUGGCGGACUAGAAUCUUGGAGAGGCGAGUGGAAUUCCGAGUGUAGAGGUGAAAUUCGUAGAUAUUCGGAAGAACACCAGUGGCGAAGGCGACUCGCUGGACAAGUAUUGACGCUGAGGUGCGAAAGCGUGGGGAGCAAACAG
rnacentral:rRNA from 1 species